UACGAAGGGGGCUAGCGUUGUUCGGAAUCACUGGGCGUAAAGCGCGUGUAGGCGGAUUGUUAAGUCGGGGGUGAAAUCCCGAGGCUCAACCUCGGAACUGCCUUCGAUACUGGCGAUCUUGAGUCCGGGAGAGGUGAGUGGAACUCCGAGUGUAGAGGUGAAAUUCGUAGAUAUUCGCAAGAACACCAGUGACGAAGGCGGCUCACUGGCCCGAUACUGACGCUGAGGCACGAAAGCGUGGGGAGCAAACAGG
rnacentral:rRNA from 1 species